rnacentral:rRNA from 2 species
ACGGGAGGCAGCAGUGGGGAAUUUUGCGCAAUGGGGGCAACCCUGACGCAGCAACGCCGCGUGCGGGAUGAAGGCUUUCGGGUUGUAAACCGCUUUCAGCAGGGAAGAAAUUGACGGUACCUGCAGAAGAAGCUCCGGCUAACUACGUGCCAGCAGCCGCGGUAAUACGUAGGGAGCGAGCGUUAUCCGGAUUCAUUGGGCGUAAAGCGCGCGUAGGCGGAUGCCUAAGCGGGACCUCUAAUCUUGGGGCUCAACCUCAAGCCGGGUCCCGAACUGGGUGUCUCGAGUGCGGUAGAGGCAGGCGGAAUUCCAUGUGUAGCGGUGAAAUGCGCAGAUAUAUGGAAGAACACCGAUGGCGAAGGCAGCCUGCUGGGCCGAUACUGACGCUGAGGCGCGAAAGCUGGGGGAGCAAACAGGAUUAGAUACCCUGGUA